rnacentral:lncRNA from 1 species
CCUGGACAAGCCUCGGAGGACCAGGCAGAACCCUCUGGCUAGCAGAAAAGCUCGCACCCCCGCACCCUUGCGGCGUCUGCUUCAGACCCUCCACGCAGGCGCCCGCUGGAGCGCCUGCUGGGGAUGGCGUACCACCGACCCUUCAGGCUUUUUAAAAACCUCUCCAAGAGCUCGGUCAUGAAGGAGAUAUAGACGAUGGCCAGGCGGAGGGUCUCGAUCCGGGACAGCCUUUUCUCGUAAACUUUUUUGAAGCUCAGUGUAUGUACUUUAAAAUUCGCAAAUUAUAUACAUGCAGCUUCAUGAAUUUUCAAAGUGAAUGUAUCCAUGAAACCAGUGCCCAAAUCAAGAAAUGGAAUGCCUUUUUGAAGUUUGAGGUAAUGUAAGAACAGUUAAGUUUAUAGCUUGAGACUGUUUCACAAAGUGAGCAUAUGCAUAAUCUAUAAAAAUAAAUUAUAUUCUGUAUACUAUUGUGUCUUUCAGUCAAUAUUUUAUUUAUGCAAUUUGUGCAUAUUCUCAUUGUUGAAUAAUAUUUCACUGUGUAAAUAUACCACUAUUUAUUUGUUCUUUCCUUUUCUUGUUGGUGGACAUUUGGAUAGUUUCCAAUUUUUAGUUACUACAAAUAGCAGUGUCAUAGAGGUUAUUGUACAUAUCUUUUUGUGAGUACAUUUAUCCUUUCCUGUUUGGGAUACACCUGGAAUUGGAAUAGAUUAUGCAUAUGUUCAGUUUUAGUGGUUACUAUAAAAUUGUUUUCCAAAAUGGUUGUAAUAAUUUACACUGUCACAAAUGAUAUAUUGGAGUUCCAAUUUCUUCACAUCCUCGCCAAUACUUGCCAUUUUCUAUCUUUUUAAUUUAAGCUGUUUUAAAGAUGUGUAUGGGUAUCACAUUUCAGUUUUAAUUUACAUUUCCCUGAUGAUAAGUAAAAUUGAGCACCAUUUCUUGUUAGCCGAUUAGUUACUGACUCUUUAAUAAAGUACUG